GAGCCAUUAGCUCAGCUGGUAGAGCAUCUGACUUUUAAUCAGAGGGUCAGCGGUUCGAAUCCUCUAUGGCUCA
rnacentral:tRNA from 1 species